rnacentral:rRNA from 1 species
GCCAGACUCCUACGGGAGGCAGCAGUGGGGAAUAUUGCACAAUGGGGGAAACCCUGAUGCAGCGACGCCGCGUGAGUGAAGAAGUAUUUCGGUAUGUAAAGCUCUAUCAGCAGGGAAGAAAAUGACGGUACCUGACUAAGAAGCCCCGGCUAACUACGUGCCAGCAGCCGCGGUAAUACGUAGGUGGCAAGCGUUGUCCGGAUUUACUGGGUGUAAAGGGCGUGUAGCCGGGCUGACAAGUCAGAUGUGAAAUCCGGGGGCUCAACCCCCGAACUGCAUUUGAAACUGUUGGUCUUGAGUAUCGGAGAGGCAGGCGGAAUUCCUAGUGUAGCGGUGAAAUGCGUAGAUAUUAGGAGGAACACCAGUGGCGAAGGCGGCCUACUGGGCACUAACUGACGCUGAGGCUCGAAAGCAUGGGUAGCAAACAGGAUUAGAUACCCUAGUA